ensembl:lncRNA
AUUUGCGAAAGUAAAGCUGUUUUUUUUUGUUGUUGUUUUUUUCUUUCUACGUACUGGAUUGUACAUAGUUUAUUUGUUAGAAAUGUACAGAUUUGCUUAAUAUUCACAAUCAUCUGAUUAUGCUAUGGCAGUGUACAGUUUAUCAGUAGUGAAACUUCAUGUUAGCGAGAGACUUUGUUUGAGUUCAAUUGUACAUUUUUAUGAAUCAUAUGAAGUUCUUUGAAUUGAAUUUUAGAAGCUAAGCCUGCAAAGAGAUCCACACAAAUGUAACCAAUUACAACGAUCAGCCUACCCUAGAGGAAAAAAGCACAGUUUCUUAUCAAAACAGUGUCCACAAAAGAAAAGAGGGCCUUCAGAUUCUUUGUGCAUCCCUUCCUAGUUCAUAAAUAAGAGUCGGCAGUAGAGGGCAAGGGCUGGACAUGUGAUCUGCUCUGGAAGCCUGUGCCGUUUGCAUUGGGCAAAUCCAGCUGAUGAAUUGAAACGCAGGCCGGCAAUUAUUGUCAGCACAAUGCCUUAAAAAACCUGCUGACUUCUAGAUUAAUGGGCACAAAAGAGCAUGAGGUGCUGUCAUUCUGUCGCCAGGGCUGGCAUCAUCCACAGCCCCCGGACAACGCACAAAAUGCCAAGCUAUUCACUAUGCAUUGUAAAGAGAAGGAAAAACAAACCCAAAACAAAGUUAGGAGAUGUUUGGCCCCAUUCUAUUCUCAAAUAUCUUGCAAGGCUGUGCUGACAUACGUUCUCCUUUACAUGCAUUGUGAUAAAUAAACGAUUCUUUUAAAUCGUAAGGAAUUUCUUGUUAUCACUAUUUAUUCAUUUAAAGGUGAUGGUCUGCAACUAAUAGUGAAGGUUGUGUCAAUUUGCGCAUAAAGUGGUGCUUAGUCGAAUUCAGCUGUUCAUACUCAACCAUACAAACAGGCAUUUUGUGAUUUACACACUUAAUGAAUCUGAUAAUUGCCUGUGCCUAUAAUGUUAAUUACACCAGCAAAUUAUUUCUCUAUUUUAUAUUUAUAUUUAACAUAAAAAUGUAACAGAACUGAUACGAUUUGACUUCUAAAUCCUCAAAGUGACAUAAAAAUCUAGAACAAAAUAGCACAAAUUGAAACAGAGGGGUAUAUUUUCCUUGUUUUGAAACAAAAUGCCCCCAGUAGGUUCUGGGUAAGGAACUACGUACAUGCAAGGUCCAGAAUACAAAUUUUUACAGCUCAUUUGAAGAUGAACAAGUAUGAUGCUUAGUUCCACACCAAUCUGAUGUACUUUAAGCCAUUUAACGUAGCACAGAGGCAAUACGUGUGCAUAAGUGUGUGUGUGCGUGCUUACCUGUGCAUGUGCGUGUUUGCAGGGAGUGUGUGAUAUACACGCAUGGUAGUACGUUAGUUUUAGUUCCCAUAAGGACUUCUGUUUAUUUUCUUUAUCUAUUGUUUCUCUUUUUGAACUUUUAUUUGUAUAUCACUGUACUGCAUCUUUAAGACAAACCAGAGGGAGGUUAUGUUCAACAUCUCAACUCUUUUUUUUUUUUCUUGCUGUUGUACUUUUAGAAGUUCGAUUAUUUUCUCUCCUUCAUUUCACCACCUCUUCAGGUUUCCCCGUCAAAGGUGUUCUCGAUCGGUCUGCAUUAAUUUGAUAUUGAAAUGAGAUGGAUCUGUUUGCGUGGUUACACAGGGUCAUUUGUUGCUUUGUGUCGAAAAUCCUAAAUGUAGCUGUGUACAUUUCGCACUCCAUUAAGGACGCUCUAUAGAAAAAGAAAAAAACUCUCUGAAAUAACCUUGAUUUAAAGUUUCAUCUCACUUGUGAUACACUAUUGCGCAUUUACAUUUGACAUAAGAUUUUUUAUUUGUUUUCAUGCAAUGGAAAAAAAAAACUGUCAUGUAGUGAUCUGUACAAAUUAAUUGCCAAACUCAGUUUGGGACUGUUUUUUAUUACAAAGAAAGAUGUUACAAAGAGAAAAAGAAGAAAGAAACUUUGUAUAUGACUAUAUUUCUGGGAAGGGGAACAAUUAUUUGUACUGAAUGCAGUGUGUUGUACAAGACUCUUGACUCUUUGUAGAUUUGAUGCUGUAUUUAUGAGGUGUGUGCUCCCUGAAGGGUUUUAAACAUGAUUUCACUGGCUUUGACAUGUAUGUAAAUACAAACGAAAUUGAGAAAACACUGCCUUUUUAUGAUUUAGCAAUAUGAUGUAAAUAGCAUUGUUAUGCUUUUUUGUAUGAAAGAAUUCUUUGAUUCUAGUAUGGUAAUUCCAGCUGAAACUGUUACAAUUUUCUUUGAUACGUUUUGAAGGAUACACAUACAUUGUUAACGGGAUAGCAUUGUGGAUUUUGUUGUCAAUUUGUCAUGCAGAAGUUUCAUAAUUUAUUGGUUUAAUUUAUCAUAAUUUAUUUGGUGAUGGUGUACAAUUUUUGGUAUUUCUGGGGAUGUAUUGUAUUAUUUGGUAGACAAGACCAUAAAAACACCCUCCUAAGCUCCUUAACUCUGUAGAGACAUAAAGAGACACUUAUGUCCAGGUAGCCAUUGUAAUUUCAGACACUGUAGUCAUAAGAGACGCUUGGAAAAAAAAAAAGAAAAAAAGGAACGAAAAAAAGAAAAAAAAUGAUGUACAACAAAACUUUUCUUCUAUCUUGUUUGGAAAGUGAUAAAAUUGUGUGUUUUGAAGUUUUUAUUUCUAAUCACUUAAUCAGACUUUUACCUUUGCUUUUUACCACCUACACAAUACAGUAGUCAAAGUGCCUCGUGUGCCUUCCAUCUC